rnacentral:rRNA from 1 species
AUUGAACGCUGGCGGCAGGCCUAACACAUGCAAGUCGAGCGGCAGCGGGGAAAAGCUUGCUUUCCCGCCGGCGAGCGGCGGACGGGUGAGUAAUGUCUGGGAAACUGCCUGAUGGAGGGGGAUAACUACUGGAAACGGUAGCUAAUACCGCAUAAUGUCUUCGGACCAAAGUGGGGGACCUUCGGGCCUCAUGCCAUCAGAUGUGCCCAGAUGGGAUUAGCUAGUAGGUGGGGUAACGGCUCACCUAGGCGACGAUCCCUAGCUGGUCUGAGAGGAGGACCAGCCACACUGGAACUGAGACACGGUCCAGACUCCUACGGGAGGCAGCAGUGGGGAAUAUUGCACAAUGGGCGCAAGCCUGAUGCAGCCAUGCCGCGUGUAUGAAGAAGGCCUUCGGGUUGUAAAGUACUUUCAGCGGGGAGGAAGGUGUUGUGGUUAAUAACCGCAGCAAUUGACGUUACCCGCAGAAGAAGCACCGGCUAACUCCGUGCCAGCCGCCGCGGUAAAAC